GGCAGCAUCAGCAUCAGUGUGGGCAGUGCAAGAGAGCGAGGAGGGGAGCUUGGCUAGGGACGACAAAGAGUGGGAAAAUGACAUGGAGUCAGAGCCUUCCCUGUGGGAGAAUAAGGAAGAGGCAGAGGUGUCCGAUGGAGAAAUGCAGGACUCCCAAGAAAUGUGCCAGUGGGAAGAGUGCCCUGAACAGGAGGUGUCCCAGGAAGAGCUGUCUGACUGGGAAGAGCGCACAGAGGAUGAUGUGUCCCAGGGAGAAGUCACAAGUCACCAUGAAGACUGUGCCUGGGAAGAAUACUUGCCUGAGCAAGAACUGUCCCAGGGGGAAGUUGGCAGCUCCCAAGGCCUCUCAGACUGGGAAGAAAACACUGGGCAAGGGCUGAUUGGAGGAGAGAUCAGCAGCUCUGCCGAACAUUCUGCCAGGGAGCAAUCCACUGGCCAAGACCUUUCCCAAAGGGAAGCCUGCGUUGGCCAAGACAUGUUGGGAAAGUAUGGCAGCAGACUCUCCGGACACUCCAGUUCAGAGGAUGAUAGCUCUGAGGAGCUUGUGCAGGAGAAGUGUAAAGACACGAGCGAGCGUGGCAUCUGGACUGAGCCCUCCUUCUUCCCAGAGGAGGAAGAGUGGGAUGAGGUGAGCAUCCUAGAGCUGCCCCCAGAAGAAGACCAAAAGCAAAAGUGGAGAGUUUUUGCGGCAGAUGGGCUCCCAGUGCUCAUCCCUCAUGAGGCCUGGGUUGAGGAGCAGUGCAGCGGCGGAUGGCCUGGAAGGGGAAAAACGAUUGCCCCUUCUGGACGUGCCUGCUAGCUGUGUGUCUUGGUUUGACUCAGAAGUGAGUUUCUGGGAAAGUUGUGGUCAAAGCAAUCAGUGGCCAGAUUUGAAAUUGUCACCUGUGCUGGCCACUGAGGGUUUGGAUACGCCUCUGAGAACAUGCAAGAGUUAAAAGGAAGGCACUCCUGGAGAAACUUCCUUUUUGGAAUCCAGCGUAGAGACUGCAACCUUGGGGAAGGUGGUUGGCCAGAAGCCAUGAAUGAUAAGGCUGCGAGGAGAAGCAGAGGGAACAGAGACUGAGGGGGAGGAUGUGGUGGAGCCCUCUGCCUUCAGUGAACAAUCUCUGUUCCUGAAACCCAGGUCCCAGGGGAGUAAAAAUAUGGGGGGGACAGGUGUCCCAAAUGGUGAGAGAAAACCAUUUCUGAAACUGGGCGAUGCAUUUUUAAAAGGACCUAAGGAGCAGUUUGGAUCCAUGGACAGUGGUGAGAGCACUGGACAUGGAAGGAAGAUGGUCACCACGGCAGAUUUUCUUCAGAUGGCUGCCGCGUGUGACACACAAGCACAGGAGAUUCCACUGUGUUUCCUGGGGAAGCCCGUGGUGCAAGAGAGAGACUUCUCUCUCCUGAUGAACUGGGGGGAGCUUGUGUGAAAAAGGGUAUUGGACUCAGAAUUGAUGUGUUAGAGCAGACUUGAAUGUUAGAGGACUGGGGGGAGGAGAAAUGUUUUGGGAGUGUUCCAUUGUGGAUUGUUGUGUGUGACUUUUUCUUUUUUCCCUUGUAUUUCUGUGUUGUAGGUUAUUAAAGUGUUGCUUUUCCCUCCAUCCCCAA